rnacentral:rRNA from 1 species
UACGAAGGGGCUAGCGUUGUUCGGAAUUACUGGGCGUAAAGCGCACGUAGGCGGAUCGAUCAGUCAGGGGUGAAAUCCCAGGGCUCAACCCUGGAACUGCCUUUGAUACUGUCGAUCUGGAGUAUGGAAGAGGUGAGUGGAAUUCCGAGUGUAGAGGUGAAAUUCGUAGAUAUUCGGAGGAACACCAGUGGCGAAGGCGGCUCACUGGUCCAUUACUGACGCUGAGGUGCGAAAGCGUGGGGAGCAACAGGG